CACGGUUGACCUCGGAUCAGGUAGGAGUUACCCGCUGAACUUAAGCAUAUCAAUAAGCCGGAGGAA
rnacentral:rRNA from 1 species